UGUGGAUCUUAAGCAAAAAGAGUCAAAUUCGACCAAAUUUGGUCCCUAAAAUAUUUUUUUUGCAGAAAUAUAGCCAAAACAUGACUCACUACACUUAAAGAUUAGGUAUUUAGCUAAUCAUUAAUGAAAAAAUAUCUCUGGGUAAACAUAUUUUAAAUCAAUGGCGGAUAAUUCAAAUUGGGUCAUAUUAGGGGUGUAAACUGUUCAUGUAGGUCCAAUUUUUCAUAUGUUUGCUUUGCUAUCAUACCAGACAAUUUCCACCAUAUAAACUAACUAACAUGUUAUAUUGAUGUUGGUGUUUGUUGAAUAUGUUUGUUCAAAUGACUGACCUAUGGUUGAC
rnacentral:lncRNA from 1 species